rnacentral:lncRNA from 1 species
CCACCCUAUUGCCUCCCAAGGACCUUAUGUGGAAUGUCAGAGCUAGGGAGAAAGUGACAGGUUCAUGUGACCCUAUUCCCCACCACAUGAGGAGGCAUCACUGGCUUUCUCACCCCAUCCCCCAGUUGCAGGGUGGAAUUGGGCCUCUGGACCUCCUGGCAGACCAGGAUCUCUAUGACCACUAGGACCUUAGGUCUACUCUGGCCAUGAAGGGCCCCAGGACCACCCUAGAUGCCCAGGAGUUUCUGGGCUGCCAGGAACCCUGUGGACACUGGGCCUUUCAGGGUUGCCCAGCCCAGACAAGCUCCUGGGAAUCCAUGGAGCUCAAGAACCAGUGAAGCCUCUGGGCCAGGGUCUCCUCAAGGACAACCAGGCCAGCCAGGUCUACAGGUGAAUAAUUUGCUCCUAGCACCACUCCACCCUUUCCAACCUGCCUAGUGUCUCAGAUCGUCAGUGAAGGGGACCCUGUAGACAUAAACUGGCCCUGAUUGCCUUGGAGAUAGCAGCAGGGGGGGACAACUGCCGGAUAACGUCGGAGGGAAGACGCUCCAGAGACGUACUUUUUUAUUCCUCUUCCGAGGUAGAGGAUUCCAAUGCAGAAGUUCCUCGGUGAUGACCUUCCAUGUUCCACAGUGACCAAAUAAAACAUACUGAGGGCGAUCAUUCAAGUAGCCUGAGGACUAUCAAGAUACUCAGUCCAGUUCUGCCUCCCUUUCCUGGUGUGAAAAGCUGAGAGAACAGAGAGGCCCAGCCCUGGCCUCUGCUGUCAGAUGGGAGGGCUACUUUACCACUUCCAUUCUGUGGGCUGCAGAGGAAGGAUGUAGGGAGCUGGAGAGUUUAGGGGUGAGGAAGCAGCAAGGGGCUCAUUAUGUUUGCCCAGGUCUUGCUGAUCAAGUCUCCAGCAGGCAUAAAACUAAGGCCAAGCUCCAGUUCCAGCAGCUGCCAUCGGCAGGCACUGGUGCCAGAGAGGGGCAAUUGGGGAUGUCUUAGGGAGCUGGCAGAGCCCCAGCCAUACCACUAGGCCACGAGAUGGGGGAAGGGAUGUCACAUAAAGAGUGAAAAGGAUCCGUGGCCCUCCUCUGCCUCCCCAUACACCAGGGUUCAGCCCCGAUGGGCUUGAGCUCCUCUGCAGCCCUGGUUGGGCUCUGUGGGGGGGAAAGGAAGACAAAGCUGCAGGCAUACCCUGAUUUAAACCAACUCAAUAAAUGAAAAGUCAUAUUUGGAAUUACAGUGUCAGAACUUGAAAAGCCCU